UACGGAGGGUGCGAGCGUUGUCCGGAAUUACUGGGCGUAAAGCGUGCGUAGACGGUUAUUUAAGUCAGGUGUGAAAGCCCCGGGCUCAACCUGGGAAUUGCAUUUGAGACUGAAUAGCUAGGGUGCGGAAGAGGGAAGCGGAAUUUCCGGUGUAGCGGUGAAAUGCGUAGAUAUCGGAAGGAACACCAGUGGCGAAGGCGGCAUUCUGGACUGCAACUGACACUGAGAGACGAAAGCCAGGGGAGCAAACGGG
rnacentral:rRNA from 1 species